rnacentral:lncRNA from 1 species
AAGUACCUUGAUACAAAGGAAGGCACUUUUAUUGUUAUUGUGACAAAAUAAUGCUCAUGCUGGCCAACACUUAUCAGAGAAUGGCUGCCAGCCAGGCUCGCUCUAGGAAAUGUGUGUGCGAGAAUCAUGCAGUUCUUUAGGAGCUGGGUUCUGUGAUCACGAUUCCAGUUUUCACCGGAGGGUGAAUUCUGAACCACCAUCACCCCCACCAAAGGAGCACAGACAGCCGUGGCAGCAACCCCGUCACGUCACGUCCCGGCAUCAGGAGGCAAUGACACCAUUUCCAGUGUGCUCACUGCACAGCCACCAGACCACGUUCCGUCGCGAUGUGCCCCUCUGGCAGCCAUUAGCCACGCUGGUGAGCAGCACGCACCAGCUGUUCCCCGGAAGUGCCUGCACGUCCCAAGCACCCCACAGCCCAGGAGACUGCGGAGCCCUCAGUGGCUUGGCCUCUGUCCCUGACUGCAGUGUGAGCGAGAGCCCGGGUCCCCGCUCCUGGCCAGCAAGGGUGGACGACGACGAGAACGCGUGCUUUCAGAGUCACCUCUCUUGCACUAGCCCGCCCUCUGGGAUGAUUUCAGCUCUGUCGCUGACUUGAUCUACUUGUCUAGACUUUAUCCAUCUGGAAGAGGUGGCGCAAGACUUUCUGGGAGUCAAGAGAGCACUGACGCCCAGACAGGGGUGUCCGUGGGAAGUCCUCCGCAAGCCCUGGCGCAGAGUGCACUUCAGGGCGUGUCUGUUCUCCAUGUUUAAGGGCGGAACCUUAGAUCUGCAGACCCAAGGCCAGCCUUCUCGCCCGGUCACCGUCACCAGAGGUGCGACCUGUAGAGGGAGCUAUAGGGUGGUCGUGCCUGCUACCCCGCUCUGACAAAACACGGUCCGGGCUGCAGCCCAGCGCCGCCGACCAACAGCAGGGCCUGCGGCGUGGCCGGGCAUGGCCAGUGUUGGUGGUGCUGCUCGCGCAGUUGCAAGCUGCCGCCAGGGAGAUGUGCUUCAAAGUGCGCUGUGAGUCGUGGCUCGCCGAUACACUACAUGGGAUCCGGACAGCUCACUGGAGCAUGAUCCGCUGCUUCAGAUUCCAGCUGUCUCAGAAAUGUCAUCCCCGAGAUGGAACUUGGGUCUGUGGUUAGGACCUUGGGGCCAAGGUUCAGGGUUCCCAGGAUCACCCAGGUCUCCUCAGGUGAAAAAUGUCAGUCAAGAUCCAACACCAGCAGGAUACUGACAGUGCUUUUGACCUUGAUGGAGUUGGGGAGCUGAGUUUGUGCCCAGGAACACGGUGAGGACUCCAAACACCACGCAGGCUUUUCAGGGGUGUGAGAAAGGGGGGUGCAGACUGUAGCCUGGGAAGUGAGCAAAUAGUUUCACACUCCAACACGAGGACACCCUGUCACAUAUUGCUUCAGGCAUAGAGAUUUCUAUCAAAUGCAAACCCGACCCUGCGUCCUGUCCUCAUCUACCUUACUCACCAGGCCUGUCACCAUGUGACUUCCGGCUCAUCCCAAAGUCAGGAUGACCUCAAAAGCAUUUGAAUCACUUUGGGACACGAAGGCAGCCAGCACAGCUUAACCGAAGAUGCUUAGGGAAGAAGACUUCCAGAACGGCUUCAGAAAGUGUCAAGAACAAUGGGAUAAGUGUCUGAAGUAAGGGGAGUAUUUUGGCCCCAGGGGUUCAUGAUAAUGUCUUUUUCUGUGAUACAUUUUUUAAAAAAUAAGCACUACCCAUAUUUUUGAUCGCAGCGGUACUCUUGAUUUAAAC